rnacentral:rRNA from 1 species
ACAGCAGUAGCCACGGUAAUACGUAGGUCCCGAGCGUUGUCCGGAUUUAUUGGGCGUAAAGGGCUCGCAGGCGGUUUCUUAAGUCUGAUGUGAAAGCCCCCGGCUCAACCGGGGAGGGUCAUUGGAAACUGGGAAACUUGAGUGCAGAAGAGGAGAGUGGAAUUCCACGUGUAGCGGUGAAAUGCGUAGAGAUGUGGAGGAACACCAGUGGCGAAGGCGACUCUCUGGUCUGUAACUGACGUCGAGGAGCGAAAGCGUGGGGAGCAAACAGGAUUAGAUACCCCCGUAGUCCCUGUCUCUUAUAC